CCUACGGGGGGCAGCAGUGAGGAAUAUUGGUCAAUGGGCGGGAGUCUGAACCAGCCAAGUCGCGUGAAGGAUGAAGGAUCUAUGGUUUGUAAACUUCUUUUAUAUGGGAAUAAAGUGAGGAACGUGUUCCUUUUUGUAUGUACCAUAUGAAUAAGCAUCGGCUAACUCCGUGCCAGCAGCCGCGGUAAUACGGAGGAUGCGAGCGUUAUCCGGAUUUAUUGGGUUUAAAGGGUGCGUAGGUGGUUAAUUAAGUCAGCGGUGAAAGUUUGUGGCUCAACCAUAAAAUUGCCGUUGAAACUGGUUGACUUGAGUAUAUUUGAGGUAGGCGGAAUGCGUGGUGUAGCGGUGAAAUGCAUAGAUAUCACGCAGAACUCCGAUUGCGAAGGCAGCUUACUAAACUAUAACUGACACUGAAGCACGAAAGCGUGGGGAUCAAACAGGAUUAGAUACCCGGGUAGUC
rnacentral:rRNA from 1 species